GUAAUACCUUUUCAUUGCAGAUAAUUUUAGCAAUUAUUUUUCUGAUGACAAUAAAGAUUUUUACUAAACGAUUUGAGUAUACUACCAAAUCAUAUUGUGUAUGUGAUACUUGGUGAUGAGCCAUAAUCCAUAAAUGUUAAGCUGAGGUUGCACUUGCACCAACUCGAAGUUCUUGCAUUACCCGAUACUCAUUUUCAUUGGUGGGACAUAGCUAUCAUUCUUUUUAAAUUGGCAUUUGAUGUUUUGACUUUUGAAUAAGUAGGGAUAAGUGCAAAUAAACUGCAUUAAAUUCUUGAUUUCCAGCUGAAGCUUUUAUCCUCUUUACGUUUUAGACAAUGCCAUUGCACUUUAUAAUUCAAAUAAUCUUGAAUUCUGAUUGAUAUAUUUGCUUGUUUCUUUUUUUCUAGUUUUUUUUUUUUUGUUGUU
rnacentral:misc_RNA from 1 species